rnacentral:rRNA from 1 species
CAACGUAGGAACGUACCCCAAAGUGAGGCAUAAGCACCAGAAAUGGUGUCUAAUACCGCAUGUGAUCUUCGGAUUAAAGCUUCGGCGCUUUGGGAACGGCCUGCGCAUGAUUAGCUUGUUGGUGAGGUAAUGGCUCACCAAGGCGAUGAUCAUUAGCUGGUCUGAGAGGAUGAUCAGCCAGACUGGGACUGAGAACGGCCCAG